AGGCAGUGGGUUUCCAUGUGACAUCAGGGGUUUUACUUAUGAAGCUAUGAGAAUACUUCUUUUUGGUACUCUCCAAAAUGCCACUAGGGUGAUGUGGAGGAAAAGAAUUGUGGAAUAAAGGGAUUUUUCAAACAAAAAAAAAUAUUCUUGCAGUAAAUUACUGUAGCAAAUUUUGAAAGUUAGAAUUUUUGAACUACCAACUUUAAGUCAUUUAACAUGUUACCACAUAUAAAGCCUUGCCAAAUACUUAAUGUACUUGAUUUAUUUUUCUCACUUCGGUUGAACAUUUGAAAACAAUUCUUCAAGAAAGGCUUGAAAUCGAGGAUGAUUUUCUGAUUCAGUUUGAGGAUCCUGAGUUCGGAAAUGAACUUGACCAAUAUAACAGAGCUUCCACAAGAAAGAGCAGUGCUGCAGAUCAUCCAGAAAGUACCUGAAGAAUCAGAACUAGAGACCUCGAAAAAAGUGCACAAUGACUCAAAGAAGUGCACAAAGAAAGCAAAGAGAUGUGAGGUAAACUUCCUCCCAGACAACCCAGUAGGGCAGACAGAUUGUUCCUUACAGAAGGAAAAAGAUGCACUACAAGAGGAAGAAACAUUUCAGCAUUGCAAUUAACUCCAAAAUGGAGCUGACAUUCUCUCUGAGAAGGAAGGAGAUAGUCAUUGAAGAACCUCUUGUGGCUGAUUGUUUUUGGAAGAUCAGGUCUCUGCCGAGUUUUACAGAAUUACACAAACCAACCUGAAGAGUACCUUUUUGUCUUCUGAUGUAUUCUGAUGAAUAUGCACCAAAGAUGAUCAUGUUGUACCGAUCACAUGGUGGAGCCUAUGGAGAUGAAAUGAAGACCCUUUUAGACCAACUUGAUCAAGCUUCUGAUGUGCUUGCUCAAAGAAAAGCUACAGCUCUCAAAGGUCUACCUUUGUUUAUGAGGGAAAAGUCUGGAAACUUCCUGAAGAACUUGCCUGGACACAGACCCAGAAGACACUCAUACAAAAGGGAUGAAGAUGGGGGUCUUAACUGUCACUGAAGAUGACGUUGCCACCAUCCAUUCAAACCCAAAUGUAAGGUCCCUGUCUGUAGUUGUAGAGGAGCAGGUUGUGCUGGAUAAUGUACAAGACUUCCCUACAGCUGUUGCUCUCCUAUUUGGCUUGUUUUAUGCCAUCAACAUUAUCUAUCAUAAAGAACUAAAAUCCACUUUUGAAACUAUUCAGAAAGUGUUUAUUGGCCUUGACCCCCAGUGUUCUGCAAGAGUCCAGUCCUUCAAAAACAAAUUGUUAAAGUAGCUGCAGUUCAUGUGAUUAAUCAAAAGUGCAAGUUCUGAUUUGUUCCUGUUUGUUUUGUAGCUGUAUAACAGUACAACAUGUACUAAAGUCAGGUUUGAGUUUUAGUGUAAGGUUUGAUGACAUUCAUGUUUUGUUUUUUACAGUUGUAAUACUUGAUUGCUCUAGCACAUGUGUUGAAACUCUGCUUGUUUUUUUUUUUACUCCAGCACUUUAAAAGCUUUUGUGUUGGUUUACUCCAGUUUUUCCAGUUCAUGUUGACAGAAAAUGUGUCGCUUGGCAGAAUUGUAAAAUAAAUAUUUUUCUGUAAAAAUGACAGUCUUUUUUUUAUUGUGUUUACAGUAUGGUUUGUAAUCUCUGAGUUUGAUUUUU